GAGGACAGGUUGCGUGAUACGCCAAAGAUAUCGACGUGUUGGAAAACUCACUGUGUGUGCUCCUUCAAGCUACAGCUGUUAAUUAAUAAUACGCACGCAUUGAUUUCUAUAAAUUUUGAUAAAAAAUUAUUUCAAUAUAUUCUGAUAAAUGUGAGUUGGACGUGUGGGGGAAUGAGUUGAUUGUGAGUAAAAUGAGGAAUUUCUCCGGUGAAUUGUGCGAGUGAAUAUAUUAGUUAGUAUUAACAUCUCAGUCAUUAAUAAAGGAUGGAAGAAACUUCUAACAGUAGGAGUCGAAGAACUACUUUAAAAGAGAUCUUGCAAUUAACUUAUGUAUGGGUGGGUUUUACUUAUUCCUAUUUAUAAAGACUUUGAGAGGAAAUCCUUUUCCUUCUUCCAGACUCCCACGGCCUGAACAAUCAACUGAAGUAUCAACUAGCACUAUAAUUUGAAAAUAAGUCAUUAUCUGGAGUCUUAUCAUAUUAAUUCACAUUGUGAUCGUUAGUCCAAAUGAAGUAUCCCUUGAAAGGAUAUUCAUGCCUCUCCACAAGCCAUGGGACAAAAGAAAUCUGUAAUAUCUUUCUCUUUCCCUCUCCCCUCCCUCCUGGCUUUUCCUAGAUAAAUAGACUUUUAAUACCCUCUUGCCUUUCUUCUUGUGCUUUCCUAGUCAAUAGCAUUUACUUGUAUAUUAUAAGCUUUCCAUAGAGUAAGAUUAAAGUAAAAUAAAUAAUUUUGAUAAUAAAUGUUUAAUUAACAUUCUGAAUGAUUCUUCUUGAUUCCUUCACUCUGAUCUUCCAAUAUAUAAUAUAUUAAUUAUUCAUGAUAACUUUAUA
rnacentral:lncRNA from 1 species